AGAGUUUGAUCCUGGCUCAGGACGAACGCUGGCGGCGUGCCUAAUACAUGCAAGUCGAGCGAAUGAAUAGAGAAGCUUGCUUCUCUAGGAUUUAGCGGCGGACGGGUGAGUAACACGUGGGUAACCUGCCCUAUAGACUGGGAUAACUCCGGGAAACCGGGGCUAAUACCGAAUAAUACUUUUAAACACAUGUUUGAAAGUUGAAAGACGGUUUCGGCUGUCACUAUAAGAUGGACCCGCGGCGCAUUAGCUAGUUGGUGAGGUAACGGCUCACCAAGGCAACGAUGCGUAGCCGACCUGAGAGGGUGAUCGGCCACACUGGGACUGAGACACGGCCCAGACUCCUACGGGAGGCAGCAGUAGGGAAUCUUCCACAAUGGACGAAAGUCUGAUGAAGCAACGCCGCGUGAGUGAAGAAGGAUUUCGGUUCGUAAAACUCUGUUGCAAGGGAAGAACAAGUAGCGUAGUAACUGGCGCUACCUUGACGGUACCUUGUUAGAAAGCCACGGCUAACUACGUGCCAGCAGCCGCGGUAAUACGUAGGUGGCAAGCGUUGUCCGGAAUUAUUGGUCGUAAAGCGCGCGCAGGUGGUUCCUUAAGUCUGAUGUGAAAGCCCCCGGCUCAACCGGGGAGGGUCAUUGGAAACUGGGGAACUUGAGUGCAGAAGAGGAUAGUGGAAUUCCAAGUGUAGCGGUGAAAUGCGUAGAGAUUUGGAGGAACACCAGUGGCGAAGGCGACUGUCUGGUCUGUAACUGACACUGAGGCGCGAAAGCGUGGGGAGCAAACAGGAUUAGAUACCCUGGUAGUCCACGCCGUAAACGAUGAGUGCUAAGUGUUGGGGGGUUUCCGCCCCUCAGUGCUGCAGCUAACGCAUUAAGCAUCCCACCUGGGGAGUACGCCGGCAACGGUGAAACUCAAAGGAAUUGACGGGGGCCCGCACAAGCGGAGGAACAUGUGGUUUAAUUCGAUGAUACGCGAGGAACCUUACCCGGGCUUGAAUUGCAGAGGAAGGAUUUGGAGACAAUGACGCCCUUCGGGGCCUCUGUGAAGGUGCUGCAUGGUUGUCGUCAGCUCGUGCCGUGAGGUGUCGGCUUAAGUGCCAUAACGAGCGCAACCCCUCUCCUUAGUUGCCAUCAGGUCAUGCUGGGCACUCUGGGGACACUGCCACCGUAAGGUGUGAGGAAAGUGGGGAUGACGUCAAAUCAGCACGGCCCUUACGUCCGGGGCUACACACGUGUUACAAUGGCAGGUACAGAGAGAUGGUCCCUUGCAAAAUGGAUCAAAUCCUUAAAGCCUGUCUCAGUUCGGACUGGGGUCUGCAACCCGACCCCACGAAGCUGGAUUCGCUAGUAAUCGCGCAUCAGCCAUGGCGCGGUGAAUACGUUCCCGGGCCUUGUACUCACCGCCCGUCA
rnacentral:rRNA from 1 species